CCUACGGGAGGCAGCAGUGGGGAAUCUUCCGCAAUGGGCGAAAGCCUGACGGAGCAACGCCGCGUGAUCGAAUGAAGGCCUUCGGGUUGUCAAGAUCUGUUGACAGGGACGAAUAAGCAAUGCGAAUAGUUUUGUGUAUGACGGUACCUGUUUAGAAAGCUCCUGCUAACUUCGUGCCAGCAGCCGCGGUAAUACGUAGGGAGCAAGCGUGGCCCGGAAUUACUGUGCGUAAAGGGCGCGUAGGUGGGCGCGUAAGUCAGGUGUGAAAACUCCGGGGCCAACCUGCAGACUGCACUUGAAACUGGGUGUCUUGAGGGCAGGAGAGGAAGGUGGAAGUCCUGGUGUAGCGGUGAAAUGCGUAGAUAUUAGGAAGAACACCAGUGGCGAAGGCGACUUUCUGGACUGUAACUGACGCUGAGGCGCGAAAGCGUGGGUAGCGAACGGGAUUAGAUACCCGAGUAGUC
rnacentral:rRNA from 1 species